UCCUGUGUGGCUCAGUCGGUAGAGCAUGGCACUUGCAGCGCCAGGGUUAUGGGUUUGAUUCCCACGGGGGAC
rnacentral:tRNA from 1 species